CUAGAAAAGUUACUCACGUAUUGCAGCAGAUUAAUACUAUAAAAGACAAAAAAUUGAUAAAGUAAAAAUUCUAAACUUUUUUGACUUGUCAUGAGACAUUAAUAAAUACAAAUAAUAUAAAUAAAAAAAAAACGGAAGAAGAGAUUUUAUUUUAUUUAUUUUUUCUUACGAAAGUGAUUUGUUUAGAUAACAAUAGAUCAUAAAAAUGCAUUAAUUAGAAAGUAGGAGGGUGGGAACCGACUGUUUCUGGCGCAAAUGGUAAAGAGUCUGGCGGUUAAUAUUUGAAAUCUUAAGUUCGAAUUCUAAUUGAUUCACAUUUCUAACCAACCUCUCAUCCAGUAGAGAUGGAAGGUGUGGGGAAUAAUGUAUAUAUAUA
rnacentral:lncRNA from 1 species